rnacentral:misc_RNA from 1 species
GUUGUUGUUGUUGUUGUUGUUCUGUCUAAAUAAUAUCUGUGGAUGUGUGGCCUCCCAAGGCUUCUUUCAAUUUGCAUUUUAUGUGAAACAGGAGUACCUUCUUUGGUUUAUGAUUGUUGCUUUGAUUAUUUUCAUGUGCUUAAGUUGAAAGCCUGCUACUAUAAUGCUUGCUGUAAGUAGAAGUUUAGUACUGGAGAGGGG